GUCUUGGUCGAUUAGUGGUUAAAUCAUCUCGUUGUGGCAACGCAAUCCGAGAAGCCGAGGGCUCGACUCCCUCCCGAGACA